rnacentral:rRNA from 1 species
UACGGAGGGGGCUAGCGUUGUUCGGAAUUACUGGGCGUAAAGCGCACGUAGGCGGCUUUGUAAGUUAGAGGUGAAAGCCCAGGGCUUAACUCUGGAAUUGCCUUUAAGACUGCAUCGCUAGAAUCGUGGAGAGGUGAGUGGAAUUCCGAGUGUAGAGGUGAAAUUCGUAGAUAUUCGGAAGAACACCAGUGGCGAAGGCGAGUCUCUGGACAUUUCCUGACGCUGAGGCACGGAAGCCAGGGGAGCAAACGGG